UGGGAUAGCUCAAUUGGUAGAGCAUGAGACUCUUAAUCUCAGGGUCAUGGGUUCAACCCCCACGUUGAUAAAAA